rnacentral:ncRNA from 1 species
CAGCCUCUAGUCGAUGGACCAAUGUAGGUAAGGGAAGUCGGCAAAACGGGAUCCGUAACCUUGGGAUAAGGAUUGGCUCUGAGGACUGAGCCGGUCGGGCUGGGGACCUGAAGCAGGAACGGCACUGCACCGGGACUGGGCGGGGCUCGCCGUUCACGCGGCGCGGCCAAGCCCGGACCAGCGUCGGGACCUUCCUGUGGAAAGCCUCAGCUGCGCGGCGUCUGAGGGCUUCGUGCCCAAAGUGCUAUGCUUCGGCCGGCAAAAAACAGUCAACUCAGAACUGGCACGGACCGGGGGAAUCCGACUGUCUAAUUAAAACAAAGCAUUGCGAUGGCCGCUGGUCGGUGUUGACGCAAUGUGAUUUCUGCCCAGUGCUCUGAAUGUCAACGUGAAGAGAUUCAUCAAAGCGCGGGUAAACGGCGGGAGUAACUAUGACUCUCUUGUGGUAGCCAAAUGCCUCGUCAUCUAAUUAGUGACGCGCAUGAAUGGAUUAACGAGAUUCCCACUGUGUAACUCCAUCUUUGGUAAAGUAUUAGAAAAAUUAAUUAACAAUAGGCUGU